CAACUCCCACUGGAUUUCCCUGGGCCUAUUUGCUAGACAAAUUGAAUUAUGUGCCAGAAGUUUUUAGGUAGGUAACCUCAAUCGGAAGAGUGAAAAUCAAGGUGUUCAUCGGUGAAGUUCGUAUUCUCUCUUGAAUAAGAAGGCAGAGUCACUCAAAGAAUAAGCAGGGCUCGGGUAGAUGUAUUUCCCGACCCCCUACUUAGUCUGACUCAAGAGGUUUUGGAAAACCCUUUUCCCUUGGAUUUAUAUGUCUCGCCACGCUUGAAAGAAAUCAGGCUAUUGGCCUUUAAUAUUGAGCCGAUACACGGAUGAGGCGACUUCUUCAGUUGAACGACGGAUCCGAAGUAAUGUUCUCUUGUUGCGGAACAACUUAAAUUUGGGUCCAGAUGCAACUGAAGUAUCAGGAAAUUUUUUGAUCUCUGGUUGCCGAAUGGUUGAUUGAUUCGAAUGGUAAUGUCGAUAAUAAAUAUGCUGGUUUGUUGAGAACCAACAGCAGAACAUUGCUGAUGCCAUUGAUCUGCCACGUCUAGCAACAGGGAUAGAUGUUAAUAUUAAGUUUAGGAGAAAUGAUGAUUUUGAAUUCACUCCAGAAUGUGCGAUUUUUUAUUUGCUGCACAUUCCUCUAUGUCAUGGUUGCAUAGUUGAUCCCCAGGUGGAAAUGGAGAAUAAAGUUGGGGCCAUCCAACAAGGAAGCCUACACCUAGUUGCUCCAUUCUAAAACUUCUUCGCCAAAGAAAUUUUCUGUUGACAUCAUGAACCAGCAUAUGUGUGGCCUAGUUCUCACUGGAAAUACAUCUUUGGAACUGGUUUUCUCAUAAUAAGUGUUUUUAUCGCAGGAUGAUGAAGAAAAGAAGAAAUAUAGCGAAUUGUAAGAAGAGCACGUGCAAGAACUUAAGCGAUAAGAAGUUGCUUGGCGAUUAACAUCACUAGGCGAGAUGCUACUUCAUCACGCAAGGAGAUUCGUUAGAAGACAAGAAUGGUAGUUGGAGGUGAUGCCUCAAAAUUGGCCAUUUUUCGAAUGUUUUGGUUGCCACCUUAGUCCAUCACUAAGGGGCACCAAUCGCGACCCUUAGCUCAUUUUCUUGUUCCAUAGACCUCGUUGAAGAUACAGUUUCACACUUAUCAACCCAUGAUCCAAGAACUAAAGAGGUUUUAGACUAAGCAAAUUAAAAAAAAAAAUUGGGAGACUUAGUUUGGACACCAAAGAAACCAACUCUGAGGCUUCACGGAUCAAUGUUUUUUUAGGAAAAACAUCAACAUUCCUAAAAAUGAGAUCACCAACUCUUCACAAUUUUUUCUACUCGUUUUCCACGAGUAUCACUUCCUUAUUAGGACAAAGAGUUUUCUUUUUUCUCUUUUUUACCUUUGCUCAUCAUAGAUCCCUUCAUCCUCUACACUUGGAAAUCUCCUCCACGCUAAUGAUGACUGACUUGGAAGGCUCUAAACGUCUCCUUUAAUACUUUAGGAUGAUUUAUUUAUUAUACCAACUUUUAAAACUCCCUUCAUUUUUUAUGUUUCAAGUGGGGUGAGUAAAUCUUUUUAUUUCGCCA